UGAAUACCUCGUUAGGUGAGGCUCCUGUGCAGGAGAUACGCUGCUGCCCAAAAAUGUCCAAAGACGCCAAUGGGUCAACAGGAACUAUCGACAUAAGGUGGUUCUUAAUGUAGCUGGAUCAUAGAUCCUAUGCCGCACAGUGCUAAAGCUCUACGAAUGGAGGGAAUGG
rnacentral:sRNA from 2 species